rnacentral:rRNA from 1 species
AGGGUUCGAUUAUGGCUCAGGAUGAACGCUGGCGGCGUGCUUAACACAUGCAAGUCGAACGGGAAAUAUUUCAUUGAGACUUCGGUGGAUUUGAUCUAUUUCUAGUGGCGGACGGGUGAGUAACGCGUGGGUAACCUGCCUUAUACAGGGGGAUAACAGUCAGAAAUGGCUGCUAAUACCGCAUAAGCGCACAGAGCUGCAUGGCUCAGUGUGAAAAACUCCGGUGGUAUAAGAUGGACCCGCGUUGGAUUAGCUUGUUGGUGGGGUAACGGCCCACCAAGGCGACGAUCCAUAGCCGGCCUGAGAGGGUGAACGGCCACAUUGGGACUGAGACACGGCCCAG